rnacentral:rRNA from 1 species
AUACGGAGGGUGCAAGCGUUAAUCGGAAUUACUGGGCGUAAAGCGCGCGUAGGCGGUUUGAUAAGUCGGAUGUGAAAUCCCCGGGCUCAACCUGGGAAUUGCAUUCGAUACUGUCAGGCUAGAGUGUGGUAGAGGGAAGUGGAAUUUCCGGUGUAGCGGUGGAAUGCGUAGAUAUCGGAAGGAACACCAGUGGCGAAGGCGGCUUCCUGGACCAACACUGACGCUGAGGUGCGAAAGCGUGGGGAGCAAACAGGAUUAGAUACCCUAGUAGUCC